CGGCGGACGGGUGAGUAACACGUGGGUAACCUACCUAUAAGACUGGGACAACUUCGGGAAACCGGAGCUAAUACCGGAUAAGAUAUCGAACCGCAUGGUUCGAUAGUGAAAGAUGGUUUUGCUAUCACUUAUAGAUGGACCCGCGCCGUAUUAGCUAGUUGGUGAGGUAACGGCUCACCAAGGCAACGAUACGUAGCCGACCUGAGAGGGUGAUGGCCACACUGGAACUGAGACACGGUCCAGACUCCUACGGGAGGCAGCAGAC
rnacentral:rRNA from 1 species